rnacentral:tRNA from 3 species
GGCCCCUUGGUCAAGUGGUUAAGACACCGCCCUUUCACGGCGGCGACACGGGUUCGAAUCCCGUAGGGGUCA